rnacentral:rRNA from 1 species
AUGCGCGAAAGCGUGAUAGGGGAACUCUGAGUGGCAGCCGGUUUUUGCCGACUGUCUUUUGGCGAACCUAAACCGUUCGCAGAAUAAGUUCUGGGUAAGACCAGUGCCAGCCGCCAUGCGCAUACGCAUAUUGCGCACGGUAUGCGGUAAUACUGGCAGAACGAGUGGUGCCCACGAAUAUUGGGUCUAAAGAGACCGUAGCUGGCCCGUUAAGUCCACUGUGAAAUCUUGGGGCUCAACUCCAAGGCGUGCAGUGAUACUGGCAGGCUUGAGAGCGGGGGAGGUCAGGGGUACUUACGGGGUAUGAGUAAAAUCAGUUGAUCCUGUAAGGACCACCAGUGGCGAAGGCGCCUGACCAAAACGCGUCUGACAGUGAGGGUCGAAGGCUAGGAGAACGAAUCGGAUUAGAUACCCGAGUAGCCCUAGCAGUAAAUUAUGCAGACUGUGGUGUUGCUCUGGCUUCGGGCCAUGGCAGUGCUGUAGCGUAGGUGUUAAGUCUGCCACCUGGGGAGUACG